GGGUUAAUUCAGUUGUGAUCUGACCAUAUACACGAUAUGGUCUUUAAACAUAUUCAAUUAUAAAAAUUAAAAUGUAGUAAUUUCGUGAAAAAAAUGUUUUCGUUUAAAAAGUUUUCAUAAUCUCUGGGGCAACUACAAAGCAACAUCGCGCCUUCACUGGACGCCCUACAAAAACGAUCCAAGAAAGGGGAGAGACGAGGCAAAAAUGACGCACCAAAUAAAAUAAAUACUCGACCAAUUUAGCUGGACCUCCCCACCCCCUAUUACAAGUGAAGAAUAAGAAAACCGCGGUAAUUUGUAAAGAAUAUUCACGGGUCUCUCUACACUGGACGAAUUGUAACUGUCUUGAACAGAAGAAUCUUUAAGAAAUAUAGGCUGUAUCUACUAUCUACCCUCGAAGACUCGCCGUGUGGCGUCUCCAUUCUCACCGCUGUUCUGUUUCAAGAUGGACUUAAGAAGCAAAAAGGAAAGAGUCCAAGGGGCGGUCCACCCUCCCCUCCCCAUCGGAAUACAGAAUAAUAAUCACCAAAAGAAAUGGCGGGUGGAGGAAAAAUAUAAAUAGCUAUCUACCUCCCGGAGAUAUUAAAAUUUGUACGCUCGGCCCCGUUUCAAUUUUGUUAAAAUAAAAUUAUUCGUAGCCAAGAACGGUAUUAUCUUUGUUAUAAUUUCGCUUGUAUAUUAAAAAAACUAUUAUAUUAAUUCAAACUAAAUUUAAAAAGUAUACAUUAAAAUCUUAUGAUUUUUAUUGUUAAUUUUAUCAUUUUAAUCUCAAAUGCCGUUGAAAUAUACACGGUAAAAUGGCUUCUGGUCGCAUUCGCAUCUAUUUCCAUUUAAAAUAUGCAAAAUAAAGUAAGAUUGUUCAAUCAGGCGGCACUAUAUUACUGUCAUUUACACAUAUAUUUAUUUGUAUUAAAUAUAAUAUCCCGUCUCAAAAACAAAUAGUGUGUAUAUGAAUAUCAUAACGUUAAUGAUAUAAUAAUAAAGCCCGGUUAUUUGUUUACAAAUGUCGAACAAUUUUGGACAAAUUUUGGAUUGCAGUAUAAAAACAACAUACAUUCUUAAAUACAAAUUCGUGAACCUAAAUUGUCCUAGAACAAUGUGACCACAAGUCAAAUGACCUAUACUAAAAAGUUCGCACUUCAAUUACAAACUGAAAGUGAAGUCCCCUGAACGUAAGUGAAAAUCGCGCAACUUUCCACUUUCAACAACUUUAAUCGUGCUAACUUUAGUUCCGACCUUUAUGUACGGUGCGCGAAAAAACAAUAUUUUCGAAAACAUCUUAAUAUCAUGUUUGUCAAGGCUCCGUGUUUAUUUGUUUGAACUCAACGGG